GACGAACGCUGGCGGCGUGCUUAACACAUGCAAGUCGAACGGAAAGGCCUCUUUCGGGGGGUACUCGAGUGGCGAACGGGGGAGUAACACGUGAGUAACCUGCCCCUGACUUUGGGAUAACUCCAGGAAACUGGGGCUAAUACCGGAUAGGAGCUCCUGCUGCAUGGUGGGGGUUGGAAAGAUUCGGCGGGUGGGGAUGGACUCGCGGCUUAUCAGCUUGUUGGUGGGGGAGUGGGUUACCAAGGCUUUGACGGGUAGCCGGCCUGGGAGGGUGACCGGCCACAAUUGGACUGGGAUAAGGGCCAGACUCCUACGGGGGGCAACAGUGGGGAAUAUUGCAACAUGGGUGGAAGCCUGAUGCAGCAACGCCGGGUGCGGGAUGACGGGCUUCGGGUUGUAAACCGCUUUCGCUCAUGACGAAGCUUUGUGUGACGGUAGUGGGUAAAGAAGCACCGGCUAACUACGUG
rnacentral:rRNA from 1 species